rnacentral:pre_miRNA from 1 species
GUCAUACUCCCUCCGUCCGGAAAUACUUGUCAUUGAAAUGGAUGUAUCUAGAUGUAUUUUAGUUUUAGAUACAUCCAUUUUGGUGACAAGUAAUUCCGGACGGAGGGAGUACCGU